rnacentral:tRNA from 1 species
UCCCUGGUGGACCAGUGGUUAGGACUCUGAGCUUCCACAGCAGGGAGUCUGGGUUCAAUCCCUGGUCAGGGAA